rnacentral:lncRNA from 1 species
AUUGCUUUGAGUGUAUUUGCAUCCUCCUCUACCAUUGUUUCUGAUUGCUGAUGAAUAAUUUCUCAGCAAUUGAAUUACCUUUAGAGUCAUUUAUCAAUUGGUAUUUGAUCUUAACCGCAGGCUUUAUAAUAUGAAAAGUCGUAAGAGUUGGACACCGAUCAUCUUUCUGAAAAAAUGUAAAAUAAUGUAACUGAAAACAGAAUUUAAGAAAGAGGCCAAUAAUGGGAGUUCCAGUCAUGGCACAGUGGAAACGAAUCCGACUAGGAACUAUGAGGUUGUGGGUUCAAUCCCUGGCCUUGCUCAGUGGGUUAAGGAUCCUGCGUUGCAGUGAGCUGUGGUGCAGGUCGCAGAUGCAGCUUGGAUCUGGCAUUGCUGUGCCUGUGGCGUAGGCCAGCAGUUACAGCUGCAAUUAGACCCCUAACCUGGGAAGCUCCAUAUGCCACAGAUAUAGCCCUAAAAAGACAAAAAGACAUAAAUAAAGAGGCUAAUAAGGCAAAAUGUGAGAAAUAUUAACCUCUUAAAUUCUGUCGUUAGUGAUAGUACACUAUUUUGUAUUUUUUCAGAAAGACUAUUGGUGCUCAACUCUUAGAUUUUUCGUAUUAUUAUUACUUGCCCUGGUUUUUAAAUGAUAGUUUAGCUUUGUAUGUAAAUUAUAAUUUUCCAUUAUAUAUAUAUCGGUUUUUUUAGGGUCGCCUCCAUGGCAUAUGGAAAUUUCCAGGCUAGGGGGUCUAAUCAGAGCUGUGGUUGCUGGCCUACGCCACAGCCACAGCAAUGUCAGAUACAAAAGCUGCAUCUGUGACCUACACCAUAGCUCCUGGCAAUUCCUGAUCCUUAACCCACUGAGCAAAGCCAGGGAUCAAACCCACAUGCUCAUGGAUACUAGUCUGUUCAUUACCACUGAGCCAUGAAGGGGACUCCCCUAAUUAAUAUAUAAAUUGUUCCGUUAUCUUCUAGCAUACUUUGUUGCAGAUAAGAGACCUGCCCUGCUGCUCUUUUAAUUUUCCUUUUUAUUUAAUUAAACUCUUUGUCUCUUACAUAGUUUAAUACUUAUUGUUGGAGUUCAUAUAUUUUAAUAAAUUUUCCUUUUUAUUUAAUUAAACUCUUUGUCUCUUACAUAGUUUAAUACUUAUUGUUGGAGUUCAUAUAUUUUAAUAAAAUGUUAUUCUCUCACUGCUAUCAAUGGGUUCUUCCAUUGUGAAGGGACUCUCUAGGGGAGAUUUUGUUGUUGCUAUUCUUUAUUGUUUUGAUUAUUUAUUUUUUUCCUCCUGUUUUUUAAUUUUGUCUUCCUUGAACUCCUACUAAAUGCGUGUUAGAACUUUUAGAUCUACUCUAUAUAUCUCAAGUUUCCUCUCAUCCUUUUAAUCUCUUUGAUUUUUCACUGAAUUAAGAUAGAAUUUUUCAGUAUACCCUUCUCACUGAUUUAAUCUUGAGUCCCAUUCAUUCUGCAAUUCAGCCCAUAUUUCAUUAAUUAUGAUAAUUUCUGGAAAGUUUGAUUCUUUUUCACAGCAUCCCGUUUUGUUUUAUAUAUAUAUAUAUAGAUAGAUAGAUAGAGAGAGAGAGAGAGAGAGAGAGAGAGAGAGAGAUACUUGACACAUUUUAUUUUUUGGAAUUUAUUUAUUUAUGCUUUCCCUGAAUUUUAGGAGAUGAACAAAUAUGUUUAGCUUGCCUUCUUAAACCGAAGUCUACUUAUGUUUAUUUAAGUAAGGAUUUAGAGUGUAUAGCAGUGGUCCUCAAACUUGCAGAUCCCUUUGAAAGAAAAGCCAAAAUUUUUUCAGGCUCCUAGAGUCUACUGGCUUAGCCUGAGAAAGGCACUUGUAUUUAAAAUCUUCACUGGAUUUCUUCUUAUCUUCUACUGCUUCUGCUUCUUUAUUUAAACUAAGGCACUUGGAGAUAGGGCAGUGAUUAUCUUAAAGUUCUUUCCUUUGACCCAGUACACCUCUCCAGAGUUUUUAGUGGCCUGUGUCAUUAUUACCACAUUCUUUGGUGACUCACCUAUCUUACUAUUGUGCUUUGUUUGGUUGCUGAUUGAAAAUAAAUUUAGUGAGGUUCCUUGUGUCCUUUAUCUGUCUGGUUACACACUUUUGCCUGAUAUUAAGAUAGUUCCAAUGUUGAAACAUAUCAAUAUGGACCCAGGGCGAGUCACAAUUGCAAGGACUGCCACCAGUAGAAUUCCGUAGGCUAUGUUUUCCACAACUAAAAAGUCCAGAUGAUUUGACAGUUACAUAACUAUUUAAAGGUAUUUUGGUUUGCACCAAAGUAAUUAAUUUGUGAUCACUUAAAUUUGGAGAUUAAAGACAUGGUCCCUGAUUAUAUUUUUAGUUUAUUAAAAGCAGUUUUGCUUCUUAAAAUUAUUUAAAUUUCAUUUUAGAAUUAACUCAUAAUGGAAGUUCUCAAUUUGCAUUUUAAAUUAUCUCAGGGCUUUUUACAUAAUAGAGAAGGAGAAUUUUGAGAGAAAGAAGAUUGAAAAUUUAAAAAAACUGUCCUAUUCCCCCAGGUUAAGCAUAAAAUUCAAAAUUUAAAAAUCUUAGUUCCAUCUCAAGUUGUUGAUAAGCAAAAGGUGAAAUUUUAUUCUAUCAUCAAUACAAUCCGUGGGUAAGAUAGAGCUGAAUGUAAUGCUUACUGUGGUAUGGUAAUAAGCACCACCUUGCAAAGCUUUGGCAGUAUCUGGGAAGAGGAAGGGGGAAAUGUCAAAAUUUUAUUGAGGGUUGGAAAUUUAGUUUAAAUCUGCUCUCAAUGUGGGGACUAGAGUAGGAUUGGGUAAGAAGUCUAAGAUUGGUAGAAAGUGCAAGGGGAAGAUUUUGAGUCAAGGGAUUCCAAAGAAUCUGAGUAUUAUUUGUCUAUUGAUGUUUACUGUUGAAGAGUUGAUGGGUCUUUGGGGAAACUCCUCUAAUGAACAAUCAUGCCAUUUGCUUGGGUAAGACUGUUCUGGAAGAUUUAAAUAAAAAAUAAAUAACACACAAAUAGAUACAUAUUUAAAAUGUUAAUGAGGAUGGUAGAAUAGCAAAAUCACAUGAACCUAGGCAGUAAAGUGAGAUUUCCUUCCUCAGGGCCCAGGCUUGAUGUGUGAGUACGUGGCUUUACUUCUCAAGAUUCUGAAAAGUCACUCAGAUUGUAUACCCUUCUAUUUGCUCUGCAGUCAAAUCUCACUGAGGUCCUCCUCAUUGUCUAACUUCUCCUCACUAAAAAGUGGUAGAAUAAAAUUUCACCUGAAGCAAGAGAAUAACUGGCACAUUCGGAAGUCUUUGGAUAAUCAUGUGAUUGUCUAAAGGUUGAAUCCAGGAGACCCAAAACCUGAGAGCCAGAUUCUCUACUUCCCCAGCAUGGGCAGGAACAAGGCGUGUAGGCUACCUGCUUCAAGCACUGUGACUUUGUGAGCAUCAAGGGAGCCUUAGCCAUGGAGAACAAGGCCCUGAAGGUGAUGACAUUUAAGCAAUUUGUUUGCAGGGUGACUGGUGAGAUUGUCAGUACAGGAUUAGAAACAAAGGAUCUUCAAAGGUGGCUUUCAAUUAUCUUUUGAAACUGGGUCUCCAGCUGGUCCCUAAAACAGCUGUCACCCUGUCUCAAUGCAAGGAAGAUGAAUAAGUCUCUCCUGCGAUGAAUGUAUAUGCCAUCCACUCUUCUCCCUCCAAAUACAUAUCACUUUCCUAUCUCCAUAUGAAAGAUCCAUAUUUCCAUUUUAUUAAAAUUCGCACCUGGAAUAUUCUGUUAAUAUUCCAUUUUCUAUGUUUAAAUUGCCUCCAAAUGGACAUGAUAACCCAAAGUUCCCAUGUACACAUCACAUUGUUCUGUGCCUAUGUAUUGAACUAGAAAAUAUUUUUUUUAACAAAAAAGGGGGGGAGAAGAUGAGUAAGAGGCAAAAUGAACAUUUCAAAAUCUUAUUUCAGUGAUGCUCAAAGGAUCUCUGUUGCUCUCAGAAACUUCAGAGCAAGAUAGGGCCCUUUCUUUUUUGUAGCUUGGAGCAACUUUCCUGUCAACCACUCGUCUAACCUCUGUCACUAGAAAGCUAUGUGCUGGCAAACUGGCCUCAACAAUUCAAGGUUGGAGAACCCCAGCCAAGGCCUGAGGGUGGGACAGAACCCAGGCGCCAAGCAGUAUCCUCAGGCUGCUAAUUUGCUGGACACACAGAGCCCUGUUCUGUAACCUCCCCCUAGGUUGUGGGUGAGUGGAACCCAUUAACAUUUAAAAAUAUUUGCAGAAAUCAGAGGGGGGAAAGGUAUUUCUGGAGGGCCAGUACUCAGUGCACUUUCAUGCGUGCCAAAGUUUGCUGGCAUGGCUGAGGCUUUGAUAGAGAACAUCUGGGUGACUGCUGCUGCAGCAUAUAGAUGGGGCGGAGGGCAGGGAACAAAGAGGGCUUGUGAGAGAAUGCUCAAGUGGGGGAAAUGCUCUCUGAGAAAGGCCUUACUUAAUGCCUAUCCCAUGCUCUGCUGGGGGAGGGGAUUGAGGACCGGAAUGGAAGGUUUGGCCUUCACUUUGCCUCAGUGAUGAACGCUGAAGACAAAGACAGCACAGCACUGGAUAGUGGGGCUGCAGAGACCUUUGUUUCCAGUGCUAGAUGGGCAAGUGCCGAAGUUCAAAGAUGCGGCCAACAGUAAUUGCAGCCAUUGGCAUUCUUUUUUUUUUUUUGGUAACUUUAUUUAAAAAAAUUUUUUAUUAUGAUUGAUUUACAGUGUUCUGUCAAUUUCUGUUGUACAGCAAAGUAACCUGGACAUACAUUUAUAUACAUUCUUUUCUCACAUUAUCCUCCAUCAUGUUCCAUUGGCAUUCUUAUGCCACUCCUGCUCUUGGAACCACUGGGCUGGGAGGCCAGAGAACAGGAGAUGGAUUGGAGAGGAGGAAGAGUUGGUAGAAUACUUUCAGUUGAAACAGAUUUGUCAUUGUUUCCCCCAUUGCCAGUCCCAUCCAUAUGGAAACAAGAUAAAAUGAGUUGGAUAUAUCAUGAAUGGGUAUAUUUCAAACACAAAAGUGCUUUUAUUUACUUAAGGUUAAGGUCAGACUGUUGAAAAAUCUGUCAUUUAUGAGUAGAAUUUUGUAUUGAGUUCUGAUUUAUGCAUGCUGCACCUUACCCAGCAUACACACACAUACACACAUAUAUAUAAAAAUCCAUGUUUAGGCAUUUAUUAAAUCACAGAAAUCUUGACCAUGGAAAGCUUGGUUUUAUAAGAAUGAAUAAACUACUACCCCCUUUACCAAUCAGGUACUGGCUGUAGAUACAUGCUGGUCUUGGUGUUUCAGCAAAUAUAAUGUACAUACUUCAUUUACAAAUCCUCCCUCCCCUCUUUCCUUUGCUUCCUGUUAUUGCCACCUUCUGACUCAGCUCUGGAAAACUAGUCCCAUAUUUUUAAUAUUAAUAAGAGCUCUCUUCCUGGUGGAUUCAUCUUAGAGCCCAGACAUUAACAUUUGGAAGUGCUACAAGUUUUGUGAUGGUAGGGGAAUUUCUGGAAUUUUCAGUCUCCAUUCACUUAACAUAUUUACCAAGUGUCUACUAUACCAUAUAUAUAUAUAACACUAUAAUAAUAUAUAUUGUAGUGUCCACAAUGUAAUGGGCACUCAGUUAUGAUAUUCUUUCCAAAGCUGAGAAUCCCAAAUGAUAAUAUUUCACAUAGGGGGUUCUGGCUUGCUUGAAAAUAGGUAGGCAAAACUUAACUUCAUUUAAUUCUCUUUAUUGUUUUGGUGACUUAUUCUAUAUUGGCUCUUACUAUUUCAGAUUGUUCACCAUAUUUUAAAACUUACAUUACUUGAUUGUCUGUUCUGCUGUUCAAAAACUGCUAGUAAAAUAAGACUACGCCAUGGCUUUGAAUUUUAGGCAAUCUAGUAUUCAUGAUUUAUCUAUGUAUAUCUACCUAUCUAUCUCCAUUAUCCAUCUAUCUAUACCUAUCUAUCUCUGGCCUAAAAUAGGCCAAAUAGUUUCCUAAGAGAUUUGGCUUUAGCAAGAAGUAAUUUUAAAACCACUGUUAGUCCUAAGUUUGUUUAAAAUUUGAGUUUAUUUCAAUCGCUUGUUAAGAAUUAUAUUCUGCUGCUCAUGCUUUCACAUUUCUGAUUAUGUUCUUUAAUACUUUAAGAUUUUUUUGAUUUUAAUUGUUUCUGAGACUUUCACCUUUCCAUCUCCUCCCUUCCCAAGCAAUAAACCAGAUCCAUCUAAAUGAGGCAGAUUUAUGGCUGGUUGCACCAAGAAAAAACAGUUUUUUAAACUAAAAUCACUAGAGGUUAUUUCAGUUCCUUACUUCAGAUCCUAUCAGGUAUUCUCUCUUUAUAAAGUAAAAUUGUAAUAAACUAUCAGCUCCUUUAUCUCAGAAAUAAUAGAUAUCCAGUGCUAUAUGGAAAUAGAAUCUACAACUCAGACUACAAAACAAUGAUCUUGAUCAACAUUUAAUCCGAUGAAAGCUAAGGUCUCCUUUU